rnacentral:pre_miRNA from 1 species
AGCCCCCUGUAUCCGUGCUGAGAUUUCGUCAGAGAUUAACCCGUUGGCGCUGAUGAUACUUGCCAAAUAAGAAAAGCG